AUGUCUUCCUCAAGCUCCGGCGCCACCUCGCGGAUGCAGAGCCGGGCGCAUGUGGACAUGCAUGUCUUCGUCUGUCCAUGGUGCCGGGCAGGCGUUGAUCGGAGGGUUUCUCAGACACCGAGGAACCAGAAUCGUCCGUUCUGCGUGUGCAGUGAGAAUGGGGUGACAUGCUUCUUUCUUUGGGUCGAUGCUCUGGCCAAAACUCUGAUGAAUGAACUGCAAGAAGAGCAUGAAGAAUGGUUGCGCAUGCUGCCACGAACGGCAGUGGCCGCACCACGAGCUCCGGAAGAAGAGAUGAAGGGCGAAGCACGCACUGACAGAGAGCUAGCUGUUGAGCUUAGGAUGUUGAAGAAGAAGGUUAGGAAGGUUGAAUACCAACCCAUUUGCAAAUAUUUUUGGGCAUUUGUAGGUAUGGUAAUUGCACUGGUUGUAAUGUUGAAAAUGUAUGGAAAGGCAUGA
rnacentral:rRNA from 1 species